rnacentral:lncRNA from 1 species
AAAUACAAAACAACCAUUCCUGUAUGCAUAAUUUGGUCAAUCACUAAAGACCACAUGGUAGUUCACCCAGAUAAGAAAAAAAAAAGGUAUCCAGAGAUAGUAAACAAUAUUGAAUUUGGGAUAACUGGACGAAGAAGACAUCCUCAGAGAAUUAAGUUACUGAAAGUGGUAUCAACAAUACAAUCACAUUAAGCUAGAAAUUGAUGAAUCAACUCGUCAAUCACAUAAAGUGAAGCCAAACAAUCUAAUCCCCUGGUAAAAUUGUUAAGCCACCCACCUUUCUAAGAUCACUACUCUUGUCAUGCUUUAUCCAAAUCUUUCAUGACAAUUUCUCGCUACCUCUAAAGAUAAACAAGUUUCUCUAGUACCAAUCAUGCUAGAAUAAGGACACCAACUUGCAAUAUUGAUGGAAAUAACAUAACCUAGCCAACAGCCAAUCAGCCACCAAUCCAAAUUCUUUUGUCUUCUCAUAACCAGAAUCAGUUUCAAAAAGUUUCGAAGAUUAUUUCAACAACAAAGAAAAAACAAGUAGAAAACAAUGUAGUGUUUGUUCGUGCAUGGCUUAUGGUCUAUGAGAGGAGAGCUUUUCUAGUUCAGCAUAUAUAUAUAUAUAUAUAUAUAUAUAUAUAUAUAUCAAAUAUUAGUGGCUACCAGGGGAUCAAUGCACGGACUUAACAAUGUUAGAGAGGCUAACAAAAAUUGGUAUAACUCUCACCCUUCCAAAUUUUCAAAGUAGGUGACUCAGAAUGCUUCUUUAACUUUACGAAACAUGAUUCAUGUUUCGUAAAGUAGGUGACUCCGAAUGUGAAAUAAUAUUUGUUUAGUGCUUACUCAUAACUAUGUCCAAGAUAUGUCAAGGAGAUGUGCAUCUCACUUGUUAGUAUAAUAAGAUCGUGGAAUGUAGAAAGAGUGGCCUCAUGUUCUCUUCGCCUCUAAAACUUAUGUCAUGGCUUCCAGGACUUCCUGGUGCAUGCAAUGAUGUGAUAGGCGUACAUGACCUGACAGGCUGCCAGGUAAAAACGAGUAAAAAACACAUCUCUGCCAUGUGCAAUUCCGUCAAGCCACUCAUUUUCUUUGACCAUUUCCUGGAACCUAAGGUGAGUCUUUAAAGUCACAUCUCUACCGGCAAAGAGAAUCUGGGACUACCAUGAGUCCAUGACACUGUCAAGUGUCAACCAUCUCAGAGACUCAUACUAACAAGAUGUGAGAUAUCACGCCCCACUGACAUAAAACAUAUAAAACCAUGAAUAAGUUCACUCAAUGUCAAAGAAAGGUCACAUCUUCAUGCAUAGUCCUGAAGAAAUGACCCAUGCAUGCUUGUAAGGCCCCUAAACUAUUCACUCCAGACCACAUUAAUCCAUGUAUGUUUAAUUCUUUACCUAUCUCAUUCAAAUACAUUUCUUCCUAUGAUCCUUGUACUAUACUGUAUUGGUGAAACAUCUUCUCAUAACCAGCUAACCUUGUACUUGGAUUGCGAUUUUAACUUCACAUCUUUCACAACCAACUCAUCACACUCAAAGUAGAAGGUUAGCUGGUUAUAACAAGAUGUAUGGCAAUUUGAUUAUUAAAAACCCUAAUUUUUUCCAAAUCCCAUAACUUU